AUGCGUCCAUUAUGUAAGUUCCUUGUUGGAUGGGCUAGGCACACUGCGGGUAUCCUCAAAAAGGAGAAGCUUCGUCUUUCAUCUAUUAUUGAUGAUUUAGAAGCUCUGGCAGAGAUUAGACCUCUCUAUGACCUCGAAAUAGAGAUCAAGAGUCAAUCGAAUGCCCAGUUAGCUCGCAUGCUGUGCGAGGAGGAACUCAAGUGGUACCAACAUUCAAACUCUCAGUUUAUCCCGACAGGUGAUUCCAAUACGAUAUUUUUCCAUGGUGUCGCGUCGAGAUAUUCGAAAUUAGAUCUCAUGUUCAUAGAUGUUGAUGGAUCUUCUUUUCAUGGAAAAAAGGAAAAACCUAAAAGAAAAAACCUGUGUCGAAAACAUGUUGUUUGCCUUUUUGAGAGGCACAACUAUGCUUUUCACACAAGCAAAUGUGUGCCUUCGCGAUGCAAAACAAGACGCAUUUUUUCUUUGCCAGAGGCACAACUGUGCUUCAUGCGAAAGCAAAUCUAUGUUUCACAUGAAAGCAAAAAACCGCAAAUCCACGCCUCUCAUGAAAGACAAAAGAACAUAUAUAUUUUUGCUUUUGCGAGAGGCACAACUGUGCUUCUCGUGAAAGAAAAAACUCAAGAGACACAACUAUGCUUCUCGCGGUAG
rnacentral:rRNA from 1 species